CGGCCUUCUCUGCUGCUGUGCUGCUUCUAACACUCGUCUUCUGCAGAGGAUCAUUUGUAGUGGAUGUGACACAGAGCUCCUAUCAGGCAGAGGAGAACCACGACAUCACACUGGAGUGGACGUUCACCACCAAACCAGACACGUCCAUUUCAUCACUGGAGAUCCUCUGUUACCUGAAUACUGAUAAAAAACAAUCAACUCUGUAUUUUCUUUUUGAUGAUGUCGAGUCCUCAGAGGAUGAAGAGUUUUCAGGACGAGUCCAGAGUGACAAAGACGCCCUCAGAGAAGGACGAAUCAGACUCCAGCUGUCCAGACUCAGGACUGAGGACUCGGGUCUGUACCUGUGUGAGGUGGACACAGGUUAUGGCCGCGGCUACAACAGCUGCAGAGUCACCGUCUCUGGUAAGAC
rnacentral:lncRNA from 1 species